rnacentral:rRNA from 1 species
UACGGAGGGUGCAAACGUUGCUCGGAAUCAUUGGGCGUAAAGCGCACGUAGGCGGCGUGAUAAGUUGGGUGUGAAAGCCCUGGGCUCAACCCAGGAAGUGCAUUCAAAACUGUCUCGCUUGAAUCUCGGAGGGGGUCAGAGAAUUCCCGGUGUAGAGGUGAAAUUCGUAGAUAUCGGGAGGAAUACCAGUGGCGAAAGCGCUGACCUGGACGAAGAUUGACGCUGAGGUGCGAAAGCGAGGGGAGCAAAAAGG